AUGAUGAAUUCAGAUUAUAUUGAAGGGCACAUGGAGUAUAUCAUCCAGGAAAAUGAAAGUGGUAUGAUCAGUACCACUACGGUGCCCAUGAUUCCAGUGUCAAUCACCCCUCAAGUCAACAUAGUGGGGUCAGCUCUCAUCUACGCUUAUCUGGUCUUCAACUCUUCCACACCCAUCACCAGUGAGACCGCAGCAGUUAAUACUACACGCACACUUCUGUUGUCUUUGUCUGCAAACUUCUAUCAAACAAUUCAGGUGGAGAAUGUGACAUAUGAACAAAGUUCAGAGACCUCAUAUGCAGUUAUUAUCAGCUUAAGGCUAAGCAAUGUCAGCAUGCCAGAGUUAAGUGAAUCUGCAAAUGACACAUAUAACCAAAUUCAGAAUACUAUUAACAACAUGGUAAGUACAGUUUAA
rnacentral:lncRNA from 1 species